AAUAUCUUCACUAAGGGUCAUUACUACAUGUACAUGUGUCAUUCCAAGGAGUCAUUACAAGGAGUAAGAAGGACAAAACAAGAGUCAUUCUUCUUCUUCGUCUUCUCUUCUUCUUUUUCUUGUUCUUCUUAUUCUUCUUGUACUUCUUCAUAGCUGCAUAGAUGGGCCUGGUAUGGUGUAUAAGGGUUAUUCUUCUUCUUUUUCUUCUUCUUCUUCUACUACUACUACUACUACUACUACUACUACUACUUCUAUUUAAUGCUCA
rnacentral:lncRNA from 1 species